rnacentral:rRNA from 1 species
CCUAUAAUCGUUUUAAUCGAUGGGGGGACGCAGUAGGAUAGGCGAAGCGUGCGAUUGGAUUGCACGUCUAAGCAGUAAGGCUGAGUAUUAGGCAAAUCCGGUACUCGUUAAGGCUGAGCUGUGAUGGGGAGAAGACAUUGAGUCUUCGAGUCGUUGAUUUCACACUGCCGAGAAAAGCCUCUAGAUAGAAAAUAGGUGCCCGUACCGCAAACCGACACAGGUAGUCAAGAUGAGAAUUCUAAGGUGAGCGAGCGAACUCUCGUUAAGGAACUCGGCAAAAU